GUGCUUAUUUUGGUAGCACAUAUAAUAAAAUUGGAACUAUACAGAGAAGAUUAGCAUGGCCCCUGCACAAGGAUGACAUGCAAAUUUGUGAAGUGUUCCAUAUUUUU